rnacentral:lncRNA from 1 species
AUGGACUCGUGCUGUGCCUCAGCUGCUCUGAGAGCAUGGAUCAGCAGCUAUUGCCAAACACUUUCUUGGCUGCUAAUAGCACUUUUCCCCCUUCUUUGUGUGGCUGAUAGCAGCUAUUUAAAACGGCAACAGCGAAUCAGACGAGUCUUCCUUACUGCAAGAUCCCUUCUUCUGUUCAAAUCAUCUUCAAGAUCGAAUACAAUUGGUCCGCUGUCUGCUGCAAAGGUUAUGACUGUGGGCGCAAAUUAUUUUCUCGAAAACCAGAACACGGGCCAAUGGUCAGGGGAGGUCACUGCCUCUCUCUGUGUGCCAGUAACAGACACAGACGGUUAACAACCGGGCACAGCAUCAAAGAGCCAAGGUACUUUUGCCGACUCAUUCUGCAGUAGAAUGAGAGGAAACACCGAAACACCCUUUCGACACAACCUCUGAAAAGGGCUACACAGCUCCACUGCCAGCACUCGAUUGGAAGGUAGUGCCUUCCCUCUUCCACCCAUCCCACCUGCAUCUGACGCCCAGAUUAUCAUAAAAGUAGGCUACUGUCAGCACGCCCGUGAUUUACUGACAGCCUGAGCCAAUCAAUCUCAAAGUUCCGAUUAAAAGUACAAAAAUCAAGUUCUCUGUCUCUCCUUUUUAUUUUGAAUGUAAGCGAAAAUAAAGGGAAGCCUUUACAUUUCAUAGCUUCCAGAAUACUCUGGCAAGUAUUCAGUGUGCUCUACUUUUGUCUUUCAACCUCGCCGCGGGAGGCAGCGCUCAUCCGCAGGAGGCAGCGCUCAUCCGCAGGAGGCAGCGCUCAUGACAUCUUUAUAUACGACGUUCUCGUUUCAAAAUGCCAUCGAACAUUCGGAUGAGUGCUGCACUGUGAUCUCGGAAAACAAAAAAAUACUGACAUCAGAUUUUUCUUAUUGAAACGUGCUCUGCUGAAGAGCACGUCUGAGUGAACCAAAGGGCAUACCGUCUCGCAUUAGAAAUCCUACUUUACAUUUCCCUCCCAAAAAAGGCAUAAUUAUACUUGGACGUAUAUAAAUAUGUACCUGUUUUUAUAGGUAAGUUCAGCAGUGUCAUAAAAAAACAAGGCAUAGCACUUAAUCACCAGGACAAAUACACAUUAACUUCUGAAUUAAUUUACCCCAAAAAUCUCAAUUUGAAUAUGGUAAACCAUUCUCAUUACCCAAACAGAUGCAUUCAAAUUCAGUCUGUAGGAGACAAAAGGGCAGUGAGAAGGGGACUCUUAGUCACUUUUAGCCAUUUUUCAUUUCCCACUGACUAAAAAUCUAUCUUUGAAUUCAUUAAAGGUGAAAAGCUUCCUCCGAUAACACCCUGUCUUCUCUCUUUGAUAAUACAGUGUCAUCACUGCAAAACCCUGUCAGCCUCACAGUGAUGUGUCAGUCAUGCAUUCAAUAAUAAUGGUUGGAUCAUUUUUAAUGUUUAGAGGAGGAGAUCACAAAGUCAUUAACUAUUUUCUGACUCCCUCAGCAGUUAGUGGCGAUGUCGCAGCGUUGUCGGGGUGAGCCGUAAUGUAUAGUGCUGCAAACAAGAAGGAUUGCAGGAUCCCUGCCUCCCAGCCCGUGGGAGCCCGCGGUGACGCCGGAGCUCAGGUAUAUGGAUGGCCUGAGGAGGUCUCCAUCAUUCAUAAAACAUGCCUCCGUACGCGGCCGAAUUGAUCUUGCAAAAGAAGCAGGGUGGCACAGCUACCACUUCAUUAGUCUUCUCAUGCCACAAAUCACCCUGCACUAGUCUCCAAGGGACUGCAGCCACCCCCGCCAACCUCACCUCAGCUCUCCUCUCCUUAAAAGCCCGGGGAAAAGGGUGCCGGUUAGAUAACAACACCAUGGUAGCAGUGUUAUAACAGCUUGUUAGCAUUGUGUUAAUUUUAGCUCAACAUCAGAGUGAUGGCACAGCGCAGGCAUGGUGAAGGUCUAGCACUGAAUUAGGAAUGAGCUCAGAUCAAGAAGGAGGCGACAUCAGAGCAGCCAGAACAAAACAAAGUAGAAAACGCUGAAAAGCACACAAAUCUUGUCAAUGCUAAUUGAUAGCUAGUGGUCAUUUUGAGAUUCCCAGAUUAAAUCAAGUCCCUUCUCCAUAUAACAAUGUGAAAUAUUGAUGACAUUUACUUUCCAUGGUUCUGAAAUGAAUUGCCCCAUUCCUCUACUAUUUCUGAUGAAUGUUUUUUAUUGCCUUUUUUGUUGUUGCUGUAGCUGCUUGAGAGAAUUGAGCGUCGUCUUUUCUGCAAAUGUUUCCAACUCACCAGAGAAACCCUGGAGGACACAACCAUCAUUGGCCAUAAUAUUAGUUCCUCUUUGCUUCCCUCUGAAUUUGCUCGCUAAGAUGCAAUUUUAC